rfam:Eremothecium cymbalariae DBVPG#7215 chromosome 2, complete sequence.
UCCUUGUUAGCUCAGUUGGUAGAGCGUUCGGCUUUUACGCAUGCUUGCAAGGCACCGAAAUGUCACGGGUUCGAGCCCCGUAUGAGGAG